UUAACUAUUAUAUAGUACUCAGACAACACAAAAAUCAAGAGUUUAGGGUCCUCUGGCAGGCACGGACCAGCCUAAGCCAGUGGUCAUAAGACGGGCCUGCCAAAGCAACAAAGGUAAUGUAAACAAAGGGUGGGAGAUCUACCCCAAAGGGCAAUUUCUCUGUAAUGAUCCUUCCGCAGGUUCACCUACGGAAA
rnacentral:misc_RNA from 1 species